rnacentral:tRNA from 1 species
GGGCGCGUAGCUCAGCGGUAGAGCGCUCGUUUCACAUGCGAGAGGUCGCUGGUUCAAACCCAGCCGCGCCCACCA